rnacentral:rRNA from 1 species
UACGAAGGGGGCUAGCGUUGCUCGGAAUCACUGGGCGUAAAGCGCACGUAGGCGGCUUUCUAAGUCAGGGGUGAAAUCCUGGAGCUCAACUCCAGAACUGCCUUUGAUACUGGAGAGCUUGAGUCCGGGAGAGGUGAGUGGGACUCCGAGUGUAGAGGUGAAAUUCGUAGAUAUUCGGAAGAACACCAGUGGCGAAGGCGGGUGGCUGGGCCGACACUGACGCUGAGGCGCGAAAGCCAGGGGAGCGAACGGG